UAGUCCACGCCGUAAACGAUGUCUGCUAGCCGUCGGGGCACAUAGUGCUUCGGUGGCGGAGUUAACGCAUUAAGCAGACCGCCUGGGGAGUACGGCCGCAAGGUUAAAACUCAAAGGAAUUGACGGGGGCCCGCACAAGCGGUGGAGCAUGUGGUUUAAUUCGAUGCAACGCGAAGAACCUUACCAGAGCUUGACAUGUCGCAAAUUUUUACGAAAGUUUAAAGUGCCUUAGGGAAUGCGAACACAGGUGGUGCAUGGUUGUCGUCAGCUCGUGUCGUGAGAUGUUGGGUUAAGUCCCGCAACGAGCGCAACCCUUGUCUUUAGUUGCCAUCAUUUAGUUGGGCACUCUAGAGAAACUGCCGGUGACAAACCGGAGGAAGGUAAGGAUGACGUCAAGUCAGCAUGCCCCUUACGCUCUGGGCUACACACGUGCUACAAUGGUCGUGACAAAGAGUUGCUAGUCUGCGAAGGCAAGCCAAUCUCAUAAACGCGGCCUUAGUUCGGAUUGCAGG
rnacentral:rRNA from 1 species